GGGGAAUUUUGGACAAUGGGGGCAACCCUGAUCCAGCCAUGCCGCGUGCGGGAAGAAGGCCUUCGGGUUGUAAACCGCUUUUAGCCGGGAAGAAAAGGCGCGGGCUAAUACCUCGUGUUUUUGACGGUACCGGGGGAGGAAGCAACGGCUAACUCUGUGCCAGCAGCCGCGGUAAUACAGAGGGUGCGAGCGUUGUCCGGAAUCACUGGGCGUAAAGGGCGCGUAGGUGGCGGCGUCAGCGUGCGGUGAAAGCUCGGGGCUCAACCUCGAGUCGGCCGUGCGAACUGCGUCGCUCGAGCAGAGUAGAGGCAGGUGGAAUUCCGGGUGUAGCGGUGGAAUGCGUAGAGAUCCGGAAGAACACCGGUGGCGAAGGCGGCCUGCUGGGCUCUGGCUGACACUGAGGCGCGACAGCGUGGGGAGCAAAC
rnacentral:rRNA from 1 species